UCCCAAUGAGGAAGAAUUCCCAUGGAUAGGAAGUGCCGUAUGACACUUUACACAGCAGCGGCAAC
rfam:Corchorus olitorius cultivar O-4 contig17847, whole genome shotgun sequence.